AUCUUACCGGAAGUUGUCUUCACUACUUCGGUGGUAUUUCUUAGACCAACAAAUGAGAAUUGAUAAAGCCUCCAGGAUCUUGUGUCGCCCACUUCAACAGAACUUCGCUUCCAUUGAUAAACAAUUUCUUCACGUGGAUAGCCAUCUGCCGUGAGAUAGGAAAGCUCGGAAUAUUACUUACAACUGGAGAACUCCAAGGGGCAGGAGUGUUCAUCCAUUGGAAAGUUGUGCAAUUGUAAUUGGCACUCAGCAUCAAUUGUCAACCUAAGUAGAAUAUUUAACAGAGCCAACUGUUUUAAGAACUUAAGCUCGUUUACUGUUUGCUUGUAAAUGAAUGUUGAUAAUUCUAAGAUCUUAACUGCUAAUUAAUACCUUAGGGUGUAGAGCACUCGACCAUCAUUCCAAAUUCUCAGCAUCCUGUUGGGGGUGGUGAUCCAGUGUGCAUCAGCUUUUUUGGAAUUUCUGAAGAAAGUGUCUGGAAUCCAGAUUUUCCCCACCAUGUUGCUGUUCAAUCGGAGGACUUUAAUGGUGCUGUUAAAUUUCAAACGUCUGUCAUACCACGUUU
rnacentral:lncRNA from 1 species